AUGUGUACACAUUUAUCUGUCUAUCCCUCUAUGUGUACACAUUUAUCUGUCUAUCCCUCUCUGUCUAUACAUUUAUCUGUCUAUCCCUCUGUGUCUAUACAUUUAUCUGUCUAUCCCUCUCUGUCUAUACAUUUAUCUGUCUAUCCCUCUGUGUCUAUACAUUUAUCUGUCUAUCCCUCUCUGUCCAUACAAUUAUCUGUCUAUCCCUCUCUGUCCAUACAAUUAUCUGUCUAUCCCUCUCUGUCCAUACAAUUAUCUGUCUAUCCCUCUCUUCCUCUGUCUAUACAUUAUCUCGUCUAUCCCUCCUGUGUGUACUACAUUAUCUCGUCUAGUCCCUCUGUGUCUAUACAUUUAUCUGUCUAUCCCUCUGUCUAUACAUUUAUCUGUCUAUCCCUCUCUGUCUAUACAUUUAUCUGUCUAUCCCUCUAUGUGUACACAUUUAUCUGUCUAUCCCUCUAUGUGUACACAUUUAUCUGUCUAUCCCUCUGUGUACUAUACUAUUUAUCUGUCUAUCCCUUUCCCUCUCUGUCUAUACUACUUUAUCUGUCUAUCCCUCUAUGUUUUACUACAUUUAUCUGUCUAUCCCUCUAUGUGUACUACAUUUAUCUGUCUAUCCCUCUGUGUCUAUACAUUUAUCUGUCUAUCCCUCUGUGUCUAUACAUUUAUCUGUCUAUCCCCUCUCUGUCCAUACAUUUAUCUGUCUAUCCCUCUAUGUGUACACAUUUAUCUAUCUAGCCCUCUCCAUCAAUAAACAGCCAUUUUCCUGCUUGCAUUUGCACCGGCAGCAGGAACUUUGAAGCGGACGACGGCGGCGUCUUUAUUUGCGGUAUUUACAAACAUCAAGAUCUGGUGAAUGGAGAACUUCAUGAUCGGAGCUGUUUUUGUGUUUUGGGUUUCGUGAUAACGGAGAUGGAAUGUAAAUGCACAAUUUUACGCAAUUUAGAGCAAAAAGUUGGGCUAAGAGAUGAAAUCUCCUGACAACUUACAGUGUUACAUAUUGAGGCUGAGAGAAGAACACAACACUGCAGACAACAGGUAAAUCGUCAUUAUCACUGUUUUCCAUGUUCAUGGAGUAAGUAUUUUUGCAUGGCUUUUUAAAAAUGCCGGGUAGCCAGUGUUUCGUAUGCGUUUGCCCAAAUAGCGUACAAUUACGUCACUGGUAGUUCCUAUAGAACUGUUUUAGACCCUACUCUGAAGUAGGAGCUAAUUUAGUUCCCCCAAACAGAGUUCAUAGAACUAAAACUGUUCCUAGUUCCUGCGAUGUGAAAACAUAUUUUUAAAAAAAGGGUACUUC
rnacentral:lncRNA from 1 species